UGGGGAAUAUUGCACAAUGGGCGCAAGCCUGAUGCAGCCAUGCCGCGUGUAUGAAGAAGGCCUUCGGGUUGUAAAGUACUUUCAGCGGGGAGGAAGGGAGUAAAGUUAAUACCUUUGCUCAUUGACGUUACCCGCAGAAGAAGCACCGGCUAACUCCGUGCCAGCAGCCGCGGUAAUACGGAGGGUGCAAGCGUUAAUCGGAAUUACUGGGCGUAAAGCGCACGCAGGCGGUUUGUUAAGUCAGAUGUGAAAUCCCCGGGCUCUACCUGGGAAGUGCAUCAGUUACUGGCAAGCUUGGGUCUCGUAGAGGAGGGUAGAAUUCCAGGUGUAGCGGUGAAAUACGUAGAGAUCUGGAGGAAUACCGGUGGCGAAGGCGGCCCCCUGGACGAAGACUGACGCUCAGGUGCGAAAGAGUGGGGAGCAAACAGG
rnacentral:rRNA from 1 species